CACGCCGCGUGAGUGAAGAAGGUUUUCGGAUCGUAAAACUCUGUUGUGAGGGAAGAACAAGUACCAACUAACUACUGGUACCUUGACGGUACCUCACCAGAAAGCCACGGCUAACUACGUGCCAGCAGCCGCGGUAAUACGUAGGUGGCAAGCGUUGUCCGGAAUUAUUGGGCGUAAAGCGCGCGCAGGCGGUCCUUUAAGUCUGAUGUGAAAGCCCACGGCUCAACCGUGGAGGGUCAUUGGAAACUGGGGGACUUGAGUGCAGAAGAGGAAAGUGGAAUUCCACGUGUAGCGGUGAAAUGCGUAGAGAUGUGGAGGAACACCAGUGGCGAAGGCGACUUUCUGGUCUGUAACUGACGCUGAGGCGCGAAAGCGUGGGGAGCAAACAGGAUUAGAUACCCUGGUAGUCCACGCCGUAAACGAUGAGUGCUAAGUGUUAGGGGGUUUCCGCCCCUUAGUGCUGCAGCUAACGCAUUAAGCACUCCGCCUGGGGAGUACGGCCGCAAGGCUGAAACUCAAUA
rnacentral:rRNA from 1 species